UUCCGUCAGUGCAGGGAGGCAGAGCUUGGGGUGAGGGGCAGAGGGAAUCAGCCCAAUUCCUGUGGCAGGCAAGGAGACCCUGGGACAUUGUGCCCACUUCCCCCAUCAGAGUUAAUUUGCAUUUCUAAAGCUCGUCUGCUGGCUGCCUGGAAGGAAGGUUCUCUUCCAGGGCAGCCAUCCGAUGAGCUGCUUGUGCCCCUUUCCCCUCCCCCCUCCACUUCCUUUUUUUUUUUUUCCUUUUUUUUUUAAAUGGUAUUUUGUUUUAUUACUGUUUAUGAGUUAAAGGGUCACCUUUAAAACUUUUCCAGUUUCGCAAAAUGCAACUUAAAGGUGAGCAUCAACAAACCCAUUCCAAAAUUCUGCCGUCACUAAUAGCCAUGCACACACAUACAGAAAAAAACCCCAAAGCAGUAAAGAUUUUUGCUACUUCUUCCCCUCGGACUAAAAAUUGACUCUCACACCCCUGGCCCAAACCCAGCUGACAAUGUCAGAGUAGGAUUAU